GCAGGCAGCAGGUGGCUACUCUUCUGCUUUGUCAGAAGGGAGGAAAGUCCGGGCUCCAGUGGGCAACGUAGCGGGUAACACCCGACCCUUUAAGUAAGUUAUUACUUAAAGAGGAUUAGAGCUACAGAGACGAGUAGUAGCAAAUUAGGUUUACCGAGAAUAUCGUGGUAAACUUAAUCAUGCUACGAGGUGAAACGUCGCAAUCUCUACGUGGAGCAAGGCCAAAUAGGAGACAAGGAGAAGCCCCCUCCGAUAUGAGUCUCGGGUUGGCUGCAAAAGAUCUACUGGUAACAGAGAUCUUAAGAAAAAUGGCCACACACAAUAGACAGAACCCGGCUUAUGCUGCCUGUCCGA
rnacentral:RNase_P_RNA from 1 species